rnacentral:sRNA from 1 species
AAGCUUCGCUCCGGCCGAUCUCCUCCCCGAGGCCGAAGCGCAGACGUUCGACGGCAUCCUCCUCCCAGCCGUAGGACUUCAAGACACGACGCCCGCCGGUCCUCCCCCGGCGGGCGUCGUCG